CAUCCCCAAGUCAAGCAUGAAUACCCAUUGAAUUUAAGCUUAUCACUAAGCAGAGGAAAAUAAACUUACCAGGAUUCCCCUACUAACAGUGAGCGAACCGACAAGAGCCCAGCAUGAAAAUCAGCGGCUCCGCUAUCAAAUUCUAGUCUAUAGAAGCAUACUUAGCGAUGGACCAGGCCUCAGUCCCAUGGAAGGGGGCACCAGAGAGGGUGAGAGACUCAUUAGGCCCAGACCCUUCUGCACCAUGAGGUACUAUCGGCAAGUCGGGUUGUUUGGGAAUGCAGCCCUAAUCGGGUGGUGAAUUUCGUCCAAGGCUAAAUACAAGCGAUACCGAUAGUAAACAAGUGCCAUGAGGGAAAGAUGAAAAGGAAUUUGAAAAGAGAAUUAAAGAGUACUUGAAAUUUUUGAGAGGGAAGUGGAUGGAGGCUGACAAUGUUCCCCAAUCAAAUGCAGAACAACAUCAGUCGAUCCACCACUCGACUUGGGGGUGUGCUAGCAUGGGUCAUUGUGGUGGCCUCAUGGUGGUUGAGGAGCAAAGCAUGUGCCUACCAGGGCAGGCCCUCAGGCACCUACAUGCUCGUGGUGCUAGCCAGUGGGCUUUCCAUCUUACCCGUCUUGAAACAUGGACCAAGGAGUCUAACAUUUGUGUGAGUCGGCGGGUUAGGAAACUUGUAUGGCACAAGGAAGCUGACUACUAAGAUCCCCUCUCAGGGGGUGCAACAUCGACUGACCCUGAUCUUGUAUGAAGGGUUUAAGUGCAAGAACACUUGUUGGGACCCGAAAGAUGGUGAACUAUGCCUAGGAGGUCGAAGCCACAUGAAACUCUGGUGGAGGCUCACAGUGAUACUAACAUGCAAAUCAUUCAUUUCACUUGGGUAUAGGGGUAAAAGAAUAAUCGAAUCAUCUAGUAGCUGGUUUCCUCUUAAGUUUCCCUCAGGAUAGCUGAAGCUCAUGUGUGAGUUUUAUCGGGUAAAGAAAAUGAUUAGAGGCAUCGGGGGCAUACCUCCCUCAACCGAUUCUCAAACAUUAAAUAGGUAAGGUGGCAUGACUACUCUAUUGAGUGUCACCAUGAAAUCGUGAGCUCCAAGUGGGCCAUUUUUGGUAAGAAGAACUGGUGAUAUGGGAUGAACCAAAAGCUAAGUUACGGUGCCAAAUUGUACACUAACCCGGAUCCCAAAAAGGGUGUUGGUCGAUUAAGACAACACGAUGGUGGUCGUGGAAGUCAAAAUCCACUAAGGAGUGUGUAACAACUCACUUGCCAAAUCAACUAGCCCCAAAAAUGGAUGGUGCUAAGGCAUGCAACCUGUACUCUAUCAUCGGGGCAAGUGCCAAGCUUCGAUGACUAGGAGGACAUGGGGGUUGUUGUGAAACCUUGGGUGUGAGACUAGGUGGACCAGCCCCCGAUGUAGAUCUUGGUGGUAGUAGAAAAUAUACAAAUGAGAACUUUGAAGACUGAAGUGGGGAAAGUUUCCAUGUGAACAACACUUGGACAUGGGUUAGUCAAUCCUAAAAGAUGGGGAAGCUCAAUGAGAACAUCAAAAGAGAAUCAGGUUAAUAUUCCCGAACCGGAACGUGGCAGUGGAUGACAACAUUAGGAAAUCUGGAGACAUCAACGGGGGCCCUGGGAAGAGUUAUCUUUUCUUUUUAAUAUCUUGCCCACCCUAAAAUUGGUUCAACUAAAGAUAGGCUCCAGCGGCUGGAAGAGCACUGCACGUCCUGCGGUGUCUAGUGUGCCUUCAGCGACCUUUGAAAAUCUAGAGCACCGAGUACCAUUCAUGCCCAAUCAUACUCAUAACCAUAUUAGGUCUCCAGGGUGAACAACCUCCGAUAAAUAGAACAAUGUAGGUAAGGGAAGUUGGCAAAAUGGAUCCAUACCUUUGGGAAAAGAAUUGGCUUUGAGGGCUGGGCCUAGGGGUCUACGCCCCGAACCCAUGGGUUGUUGGCGUCCUGCCUGAGCUACUAUCGUGAUGAGGGCAGGCUGUCAUGUGUCGAUCGGGCGAUGGACACAAGCUUCUCCCUUCAAGGGGAUUUCCCUAGGAGGCGAAUAAGUGACUCAUAACUCAUAUAGACAAGGGGAUUCAGACUAUUUAAUUAAAACAAAGCAUUGUGAUGGUCCCUGCGGAUGCUGACGCAAUGUGAUUUCUGCCCAAUGCUCUGAAUGUCAAAGUGAAGAAAUUCAACCAAGCACAGGUAAAUGACAUGAGUAACUAUGACUCUUUUAAGGUAGCCAAUUGCCUUGUCAUCUAAUUAGUGAUGCGCAUGAAUGGAUUAACAAGAUUCCCACUAUCCCUAUCUACUAUCUAGCAAAACCACAGCCAAGGGAAUGGGCUUGGUAGAAUCAGAGGGGAAAGAAGACCCUAUUGAGCCUGACUCUAGUCCAAAUUUGUGAAAUGACUUGAGAGGUGUAGAUUAAGUGGGAACCAUUUUGGUGCAAGUGAAAUACCACUACUUUUAACAUUAUUUUACUUAUUCCGUGAGGCAGAGAUGGGGCAAUGCCCCAGUUUUUGGCCUUAACGUGCAUCUAGGCAUGUUGAUCUAGGCAAAAGAUAUUGUCAGGUGGGGAGUUUGGCUAGGGUGACACAUCUGUUAAAAGAUAACGCAGGUGUCCUAAGAUGAGCUCAAUGAGAACAAAAAACUCAUGUGAAACAAAAGGGUAAAAUCUCAUUUGAUUUUAAUUUUUAGUACAAAUACAAACCGUGAAAGCAUGGCCUAUUGAUCUUUUAAAAUUUCAAAAUUUGAAGCUAGAGGUGUCAAAAAAGUUACCACAAGGAUAACUGGCUUGUGGCAUCCAAGCGUUCAUAGCGACGUUUCUUUUUGAUCCUUCGAUGUCAGCUCUUCCUAUCAUUGUGAAGCAAAAUUCACCAAGUGUUUGGAUUGUUCACCCACCAAUAGGGAACGUGAGCUAGGUUUAGACCAUCGUGAGAUAGGUUAGUUUUACCCUACUAAUGAUCUAUGUCAUGAUGGUAAUUUAACUUAGUACAAGAGGAACCAUUGAUUGACACAUUUGGUCAUCGUGAUUGGUUUAAAAGCCAGUGGCACAACCCUACCAUGUGCUAAGAAAGGUUACUGAUGGUGUGACCCUUGGUCGACCUUUCUUUGUCCAAGGGUUGAGUGUGGUUUGUGGCGCACUCUUUUCUUGCCCAGGAGCCGAGUGCAGUUUUAGGUGCAUCUCAAAGGGGUGCACUCUUUUUCUCUCUCGAGUGCCAAGUGUGGAUGAAAUUGAUGCGACCUUGGGGCCACCUUUCUUUCCAAGGGUUGAGUGGGGUUU